AAUAUCUGACGCUGUUGACUUUUUAUCACAUGUUUGACCGUUCGUCUUAUUUAAAAAAUUUAAGUAAUUAUUAAUUCUUUUCCUAUCAUUUGAUUCAUUGUUAAAUAUAUUUUUAUGCAGGCAUAUAAUUUUACAUAUCUCACAAAAGUUUUUGAAUAAGACGAACGGUCAAACAUGUGCUAAAAAGUCAACGGUGUCAAACAUU
rfam:Oryza sativa Japonica Group DNA, chromosome 7, cultivar: Nipponbare, complete sequence.